rnacentral:rRNA from 1 species
UACGUAGGGCGCAAGCGUUAUCCGGAAUUAUUGGGCGUAAAGAGCUCGUAGGCGGUUUGUCGCGUCUGCCGUGAAAGUCCGGGGCUCAACUCCGGAUCUGCGGUGGGUACGGGCAGACUAGAGUGAUGUAGGGGAGACUGGAAUUCCUGGUGUAGCGGUGAAAUGCGCAGAUAUCAGGAGGAACACCGAUGGCGAAGGCAGGUCUCUGGAACGGUACUGACGCUGAGGCGCGAAAGCGUGGGGAGCGAACAGG